rnacentral:lncRNA from 1 species
CCCAGUCUUUACUAAAAUCAUCCAUACAUCAAUUGUCUUAAAAUCAUUUAUUUACUACACUAAGUAAUUAACAGAACAUACAAACAGUCAUUAUCGUCACAAAGGAUUGGUAUCGGAAUGCGCCCUACUGGCUAAACAGGCCGGUCGGCCUGUUGAACAAUGGAUCAUAAAAGGUCGGCUGAGAAGUUACACAGGGUUCAUUAAUAUUAACAAUUGACAAUUGAAGGCUCACUCAUUCGGGAACAAUUGCAAUCAGUAUAUAUUUACGCUCAGUGUGUCGUUCUGAUUCUUGUUGGAGAGUAGUUCUGUUGGGGAGUUUUGUCCGCGUUCUCUCUCCCUCUCUCGGUUAGAAUGGUUCUUUCAGAGCGACAUUCAUUAAUGUCGUCAUCGAAUGGUUGGUUCGUUGGUCUUCGCGUUCAAUGAUAUAAUUUACUUAGCUGCAGACUAAUAAUUAAUAUCAAAGACAUGUUCUUAUUCUGUCAGUAUCGAUAGUCUAAAAGUUAACCACGUGGUAUGGUUCACUUUCAGUAGAGGAAUUGGAAGGUAAAACCUAUUAGGCCUGGUCUGAAGAAAUGUAAAUCCGGGGGUGUUUUAUAGUGCCCAUAGAACAGCUUGUCAAAUGACGCCUGGUCCUGUAUGGGUCCCUGGGGGCGUGCCUAUGACUGAGUUAGAUUUGGUUACAGAAAUACAAUUCUAUCACAUUACAUCAGUACAUAGCAUCUCAAUGUCUUACAAAAGCUUUAUCCUUAUUAAUACAUUCCAUACCUUCUCCAGAACACAAAAUGUCGCUUGGCUUUCCAAUUCUAUGAGUUGGAAGAAUUUCCUGUGUCUCUCUAUGGGCCAUGUGGCCAGAGACUCUCCUGGAAUUUUAGAGUUUUUACGACCCUUUACACACAGAGUGGAUUGUGUGCAAAAGGGAGGGGUCAACUGUCCUCCCUGUACCAAAAGAGGCCAACGUCAUGACAUACCCCCCCUGGUGGUUUGGAUCUUGUUUAUCCUGCAAGUUACAAAUCAACAUAAAAUCAUGACCACGUGAUGUCCCAUUGGUAGAUCAUCGUUGCAG